UAUAUUUUUAGGGCAAGUCAUUCCAGCCUCCCCAAUCGCCUCCAUCUCUCUACUCGUUCUCAACUCUCUCUCUCUCUGCAACUGCAAACUACAAAAUCUACGAGAAUCAUAAGUUCAAAACCCAUAUAUUUCAGUUUAUCUAUCUGCUGCAAGAAUCAAAAGUUCAAGACCUUUUACCUAUAUCAAAACCCAUAUCGGCAUAACAUUUCAGAUUGUUCAAAAAAUCAAAACCCGUAUCUUUCAGUUUCCAUCGCUAGCUGUUCCUGUUCGGGUUCGCCGUUCUCAAGCUUCAGCCGCUGGCCCGCUGUCUCUCAACUAUCAAGCUUGCCACCUCUCUCUCUCUGCAACUGCUAACUUGUUGGUAAACCCAGCUGGAGCAGGAUAAGAAACAA